rnacentral:rRNA from 1 species
UACGGGAGGCAGCAGUGGGGAAUAUUGCACAAUGGGCGCAAGCCUGAUGCAGCCAUGCCGCGUGUAUGAAGAAGGCCUUCGGGGUUGUAAAGUACUUUCAGCAGUGAGGAAGGUGGGUAUGUUAAUAGCAUAUUCAUUUGGCGUUAGCUGCAGAAGAAGCACCCGGCUAACUCCGUGCCAGCAGCCGCGGUAAUACGGGAGGGUGCGAGCGUUAAUCGGAAUUACUGGGCGUAAAGCGCAAUGCAGGUGGUUUGUUAAGUCAGAUGUGAAAGCCCGGGGCUCAACCUCGGAAUUGCAUUUGAAACUGGCAAACUAGAGUACUGUAGAGGGGGUAGAAUUUCAGGUGUAGCGGUGAAAUGCGUAGAGAUCUGAAGGAAUACCGGUGGCGAAGGCGGCCCCCUGGACAGAUACUGACACUCAGAUGCGAAAGCGUGGGGAGCAAACAGGAUUAGAUACCCUGGUAG